AUGGGCCAGGACCGUGCGUCACCCACCUCGCGCAUCCCCGAACCGGAGAAGAUCCUCAACCUCAUCCGCGCCCAGAGCAAGCCCGUCCCCCUCGAGCCGGAGCACUACAAACCCAAGACCGAGACCUUCAUCAAGAUCGAGCGGGACGACCCCUUCGGCACCCGCGGACGCGGCGACGGCAUGGAGCUCAACGGCCGACGCAACUCCUCCUUCGACCGGGACGACCUCACCGUCUUCCGCGAGAAGUAUGGCUCCCUCCUGGACAAGCGCUCGCCAAGCCUCAACGAAACCGACAUCGGGUGGUACAGCACCCCCGCCCGGAAUCUGAGCCACCGACGGAAUCUCCUCGAGUCGAAGAUCGAGGACAAGCAGCGGCGCCUCACCCUUACGGCCGGCCAGCUCAACCUCAACAACCAGAAGAACAAUAAGCUCAGCGAGCUUCUGGACGACACCUCCGACCUGACAAAGAACCGGUAUUUCGAGACGAAGAUGGUUCACGAGUCCAGCGAGCAAAGGCGGCAUUCGCUCAAGAAGGAUGUCUCCGACUCGGGCGUGGAGCUGAGCGACUACCGGAAGGAGUCGCUGAACGGCUACGCUCGCAAGAUCGAGCCACCCCCGCGGGCGAAGCUGGAGAACAAGGCGCUGUACCACCAGAGGGUGGUGUCGACGAGGACCCAUUCGGAGGUGCCCAAGGUGGAGCGGCCACCCCGGAGCAAGCUGUCGAGCAAGAGCUUCUCGGCGACGAAGACGGUACAGGAGAAGAAGCGCGAGGCUGUGCCGAGUGGCGCCACGCUGGUGCGGCGCUACAGCCAGAACGAGACGACGCGGUACCGGAUCGAGCCGAAGACGGCGCCCGGGGCCCUGGCGGCGCCGGAGAAGAAGCUCACCAAGAUGGAGAAAGUGAAACAGUUUUUCGGUGUGAACGCGAAGAAGAAGCGGGCCCGGAAGAGGUGGUUGUGCAGCGGUACCGGGAGUACAAGGGCAGUGAUACCGAUGACCCAUCUUCGUCCGAGAUUCGUCGCCGUGCUUCCACUCAAGAUUCGGAUAACCCUACUUACGAGCUCAUCAGAAGUUAUAGCAGCCUUCAUCCGACCCGGUUCUUUUUUCGGCGUUUCGGGGAUGACUAUAUACAUGAUAUUAGGCUUCCACUUGCUGGUUUGGGUUUCUUUGGACCUAGGGUUACCUUUGGACCUAAGGUUACUUUUUUUGGCAGCAGGCGUCUUCUGUAACUCCAAAGAUGACAGCCGAAUCAGCCUCAAAUACUCGAAAUAUCAGCAUAUCCCCAAAAUCAAAGGUAAAUCAUCAAGCAUGUCAGGUUGAACGAUUCCGAUGCUUGAAUUUCCUAACUUGAGGACCGAGCGAGAGGAUAUCGGAUUAAAGCUUGGAGCAGUCUUAAGAAACAGUUGAUAUUCUGAAAUAACAUUAGAUUAUGAACACGUUACUCACCAAUGAAUAUCCAAUCACAAAAGCCUUGAAAAUGCACCAAACACACAAUUUCACUGCUUGGAAGUACCUAACACAGUCAUAGACUCGAAACAAUUUAAAGGUUAAGUUUCAUACGAUGUCACACUACCCGGACCAAAAUUAGAAGUUGCGCACAAUUUUUUGUCUUACAAUAUCCAUAUUUUACAUCGUAGACAAUUUCCUUAGAUUAAUUCCGAGAGAUUUAGGUUUAAUUAAACAAUAUAAUAAAAUGUAAACAAAUCGCAAACACUUUACUGAUAAAACAAUUGGCUGUUGCGCAAAUUUAAACUAAUUGUAAGAUGAGUACAAGUGUACUAUUUUUGAUUCCGAAUAAAUCUUUAAAAC
rnacentral:lncRNA from 1 species